GAUUUGUCAUGUUCAAAGGGUCAAAUUAGUGCUUCAUUCGGGGUUCUGUGGAUUAUUUUCCUCAAUUAUUUUGCUUGUUUUGGUUAAUUUUUGAAAUUUCCUUUUGUUUUGGUUUGUUAGUUCUUCUCGAUGCGCGGAAAGUUCUUUAGGAUGGUUUCUUGGUGGGAUUCCAGCAGAGUUAAUUAGGAAUUAGGGUUCUUUGUGGUAUACAUUGUUUUGAUCUUUGAGGGAGCGGAAUUCAUUAUGAUUUGUUCUUCUUCGACUGCCCGAACCAUUUUUUUUUUGUAGUAUUUUUGGUUAGCCAUGACGUUAUGGAUCUGAUAUUUCUGCUACUGUUUCAAUGUUGGAUAAUUGAUGGCUCAAAUUAGGUGGAGUAGACGAUUAAUAGAAGAAAUGGUCUUGAGACAUGUUAAUUUCUUGUACUUAUAUGGUAUAUUAUUUUAUUAUUUUAUUUUUGUAAUUUUAUUACAAGACAAUGUUUUAAUCAUUCUUUGUCCUCUUUAAUUUCAGUUGUUUGAAAUUUAUAUGGUGGAUUCAGUGAAAUUUCUUUGAAUUUUGAUGAGGUUUUCUUUGCUAUUCUUUUGUUUUUCUCUGCAAUUCAUGAUAUGCUUUCAGCUACCUUGAGGUGCAACAUGCUAAAAUUUGGAGUUGUUUCAGUCUUUGCUGCAGUUUGAUAGUUGCAAUCCUGUGGGUUCAGGACACUUUGAAUCUUGAUGUUUAGGGCCUGAUCUGGAUCUGAUUUUAUCUCUGAAUUUAUUUGGUAGAGUCUAGUUUGUUUCAACCAGAUCAUUGAAUAGAUUGCUUUAAGCUUCAGUGUUGUAGAGGACCAGAAUUUGUUUGGGCUUGCAGUUGGUGGAUGGAACUACUUGUCAUGUCCUUGUACUAUUUUAUUUAUUUUUAUUUUUUAUAUCUAUUGAACUGUUCCACGACGAAGUCAAAAUCAGCAGCCGGAUUCAUUUGUGAGGUCUAACUGAUAAGAAAGCAAAGCGUUGUUUGUCUGUUCUCUUCAACUAGCAACAGUCAAGAGUUCAUGUCUGGUCUCGACGUCCAGCUCCCCGCUGCAUUUGGUAUUUUAACAGAUGACACUUGAUUAUAAGUGUGGAUCUUUCUGUGACACGCUGUUGAUCUUUUGGGUGUGGAUCCAUUUGCUGAAGCAAAUGCUGAGGACUCUGGUGCUGGUGCAAAGGAGUAUGUCCAUGUGCGCAUACAGCAGUGGAAUGGCAGGAAGAGUCUGACCACUGUGCAGGGAUUGAAAAAAGAGUUCAGCUAUAACAAGAUUUUGAAGGAUCUCAAGAAGGAGUUCUGCUGCAAUGGUACUGUUGUCCUGGACCCUGAGCUGGGCCAGGUACUAUUUUGUUAUAUGUAGUCGACUGCUAUGAUAUGUUAUUCAACUUCAAGGUGAUCAGCGGAAGAAUGUUGCUACUUUUCUUGUUCAGGUACAACAACUUGCUACUAAGGUUUCUUGGUUAGAGUUGAUCUGUGUUGGUGAGAUUAGAAAAAAAAAGGAGCCCCUUGUGCAUGAACUUGUAGCCUAUAGUACCAAUAUGGAGAUUGUACUUAAAAAGUUGGCCUUUACUUUUUCCUUAUCAUGUUGAGGGCCUGCUUGAAUGCCCAAGAACCAUAUUCCUGUGUGAAAAAUGAGAUUUGGAGGUGAAAGAAAAGUUUCGGGGAUUGGUUUUAACACUUAA